rnacentral:tRNA from 1 species
GGGGCGGUAACUCAGUUGGAAGAGUAGCAGACUUUUAAUCUGCGAGUCGUGAGUUCGAACCUCACCCGCCUCA